UGUGACAGAAAAGUGUAAUAAAUUUAAGAUUUAUUUAUAAAGAUUAAUCUUUCUUUAGAA
rnacentral:tRNA from 2 species